UUUACAAUUUUUGAGGAGAAGUUUCUGACCGACGAGGAGAUUCGAAAAUUUUCCCUACUUUCGAAGCAAAAUCUAAAUCGUGAAAGGAUACAAAAAGCAUCCCACGCAGAGAUAUUUUAGUGAGAGAACAUCCCAGAGAGAGAGAGAGAGAGAGACAGAGCAGGCCGAAUUUCACUGUAUCGGAAUAUAUUUGUAGAUAUCCCCCCAUAGAUACAUGUGUGAUACUUUCCUUCCCUCCAUCCCUCUCAUUGAUCAAUCGCCAAACCCUCUGUUUCAGUUUGUUGAACAAUCAUCACACGCCUUUUCUCUUCUUCGUCGGACUGUUGAUUUUGACAGACUCGUUCGAAUCGGUCUCCAUGUUUUUGGCUCGGUUUCGCUCUUUUUUUCAGAGAGAGAAACUGCUUUUCGUCACCCGUACUACUGUUUUUGAUUUGUGGUUGAGAUCGUGAGGGACCGAUGCCGGGAAAUCGACAGGUUCAGAGCAACGGCGUCGUUUCCAAUUCGUCCGCCAAUCACCUCGAAGGUAUAAUCAUGGUGUAUACUCUCUUACUCGCAAUAUAUUUAACAUGCUUGAGUUUCAAGCAAUGAAGUUAGAGUCCGAUCAUGGCUUCUUUUUUUUUUUUUUGCUCUCUUUCCUUUUGUUGAUAUCUUUGUUCUCGUCGUCGUCGGUGUUGUUCUUUCUGUUUGUUUGAUCGGGUGACGAUUCACGAUUAUUUCUUUUAUUUAAUCAAUCUAUAGUUUUUUUUUGGAUAAGUAAUUAACUAAUCAAUAGUUUACUAACUAAUGUGCCCAAUAUAUAGCAUACUAGUUAGUCAUUUACUUAAUUAGUAAUCAAUAACGCUAGAGAAUACUGAAUAUGGUUACUAACUAAUGUGCCAAAUCUAUAGCAUACUAGUUAGUCACUUAUUUACUUUUCCUUAAAAUUGCUUUAUGUUAAUAAAAUCUCCAUCUCUACACAAAAUAUGUAGUUUAAUGUGUAUUUAGAUGCGCGGCUUAUUUUGUAUAUAUGCGGAAUUCAUUAUCUUUUGAUUGUGUUGGUGUCUUUGUUGUCAUCGUUGUGUUCAUUUUUGUGUUUUUGUUUUUUUGAUUGGGUGACGAUUCGUGUUCUUGCUUUUGAUCUGGUAAUCACUAAUGCUAGAGUUAAUAAAUAGUUUACUAACUAAUGUACCGAAUGUGUAAUAGCAUAUUAGUUAGCUAUUUACUAUCCCAAUCGUCUCUCUCACCAUGAAGAUCAUCUGAACAAACAGUGAAACCCAAUAAACCCAAAAAAAUGAGAACCCGUCCUCUAAAUCAUCUUCCCCAGUUUCUCUAUUUUCCUUCUUUUUCCCACGCAUACUCAGACCUCUAAAACCCUAAUAUAAUUUAGGAUAAAUUUUUGUAGUCGUCCCUUUAGUUUUACGUUUGUCUCGAUUUCGUCCCUCUAGUUUCAAUUGUAACCAAAUAAACCUUGUAGUUUGUUUUUCGUCUCAAUUCGGUAAAAUCAUUCACGGUGUGAAUAAAACUAAUGGAAAAUGAGGUUUGGAGGGGUAGAUGUACGAAAUGUUAUGGGCAAAUAAGACAUUUCGGCCUAAUCUCCCGCCAAAAUUGAGUUUGCCAUAUAUAUAUAUUGUCAUUUUGGUACAAUUCCUUUACCCAGUCGUAAGCCCUAACCCAUCCAGACUUGAAGAAGCUUCAAUGGAGUCCAAGCAAUGCCAUUGUGGAAAGAGAGCUCCAGUCGGCACCUCAUGGACUGAUACGAAACCCUGGCAGAAGAUUCAUUGGACGUUCCAAACAUGGGUCUAGAGAUGCUUGCACCUUCUUCAUGUGGGUGGAUCCACCUAUCUAUGCUCGUUCUCGGGAUGCUCAAAAGAACCACGCAGCUUGAGGCGAAAAUUGGACUUCUCAAGCGACGAGAGAAUUCUGGUGGCUAUUAUAUUGCUGUCUUGGGUGUUCUUUUCUGGUUCAAUUCCUCUGUUGAUGGAGACUGUAACGACCCGCUCCAUCUUUGUACAAUAUUGUCCGUUUUAGACGCCCAAAGUCAAUAGACUUCCCAGUAGGUCACCCACCCCUGGACUACCCUAGGAUGAGCACGCUUAACUGUGAAGUUUCUAUGCGCUUUGGCCCGCCCUUACGGCUUUAAAAGACCUUGUACAAGUAGGAGGGAUCUUUCCUUAUAAACCAUGACUUGCCCCCUCCCGUCCGGACGAAGCCUGCUUCCUGCAAUACCGCUGGCCACCGGAAAGCGGGGUGUCACAGAGACUGUUAUGCUGGCAAAGGAAAUCAUGGUGAUGGAUUCUGAAUGUAGUAACCUGGGAUGGGCAAUGUGUACAUAGUACUUAGUAGUAUAUGGGGUAAUGUAGGUUGGUUUAGACGAGGUUAACUUGUGUUUUGUUAUGGUGGUAAUGGUGGUUUUGGGGGAUGAUAAUCAAGUGUCCAUAUAUUGGUUGGUUAUGGUAUGUAACGACCCGUUUUUUUGUAAUGAAAGUGAUGACAUUUGGUUUAUAUUAGUGCUUGUGAAUCAGUAAUGCCAUUUUGCAUUCAUGCC